UGUAGUUCCAAUUUGCUUCCAUAUAAUCAAUGAAAAACCAAAAAGAGGUAGUCAUUACUACCCAAACCAAUUGUCUUAUGUUCUAGCAAUCUUUAGCUUUGAAGAGGGACCGCAUUACACAGUUACUUGAGAAAGAUAUAAACAACAAAUACGAAAUGCUUACCUAGCAAGAACUUCAAGCUUGGGUUCCAAGAAACUCAUCUUCUUCUUAGAAGCCAAAGCAUACCCAAUAACCAGUUUCUUCUUUUGUUGCUGAACUUGUUCAAACGACGUCGUAUCAAGUCCAAAUUUUUUUAUUUUUUUUCUGCAAUCUCUCCGACUUCUUCUACUUGCUCUAGGCUCUAUUAUUUUCCACUUGGCUCAAUUUUUUUGGUUUUUUUUGUUAAAUUGCAAAGCUUACAACAUCAAAAAUG